AUUGAACGCUGGCGGCAUGCCUUACACAUGCAAGUCGAACGGCAGCAUGGGUGCUUGCACCUGAUGGCGAGUGGCGAACGGGUGAGUAAUGCAUCGGAACGUACCCGGAAGUGGGGGAUAACGUAGCGAAAGUUACGCUAAUACCGCAUAUUCUGUGAGCAGGAAAGUGGGGGAUCGCAAGACCUCGCGCUUCCGGAGCGGCCGAUGUCGGAUUAGCUAGUUGGAGGGGUAAAGGCCCACCAAGGCAACGAUCCGUAGCGGGUCUGAGAGGAUGAUCCGCCACACUGGGACAGAGACACGGCACAGACUCCUACGGGAGGCAGCAGUGGGGAAUUUUGGACAAUGGGGGCAACCCUGAUCCAGCCAUGCCGCGUGAGUGAAGAAGGCCUUCGGGUUGUAAAGCUCUUUCGGCCGGGAAGAAAUCGCACAGGUUAAUACCUUGUGUGGAUGACGGUACCGGAAUAAGAAGCACCGGCUAACUACGUGCCAGCAGCCGCAGUAACAC
rnacentral:rRNA from 1 species